UUCCUGAUGGUCCCAUGGUUAAGAUUCUGCAUUUUUGCUGCAGAGGGUGUAGGUUCAAUCCCUGGUCAGGAAA
rnacentral:tRNA from 1 species